CACACACACACACAAGAUAAAUUCUUGAUGUGGGAAAUUUAAGUAUGGACCUUAUCCUUGGCCCUUCCAGGAAGGACGUCAAAACCAAAAUUUGUCAAGAGUAGUCAGUCAGAGACGCCGGCGCCUCAGAGAUUGAAGAUGACCGGGACCAGACGAUGCUGAUGACGACGAAGACGAAGACGACGCCGACGACGCCGACGUCGACGACGACGACGCCGACGACUAUGACUACAAGAAGGAAUUUCCAAGGUAAGAUAUACGACGAAAAUUUCUCUCCUAACCAAGAAUCUU